GUGACGAAGCGACGCCGCGUGUGGGAAGAAGGCCUUCGGGUUGUAAACCACUGUCGGGAGUUAGGAAAUGUAAGGGUGCUAAUAGUAUCCUUACUUGACUAAGGCUCCGGAGGAAGCCACGGCUAACUCUGUGCCAGCAGCCGCGGUAAUACAGAGGCGGCAAGCGUUGUUCGGAGUUAUUGGGCGUAAAGAGCACGUAGGCGGCCUUGUAAGUCAGUUGUGAAAGCCUUCUGCUUAACGGAAGAACAGCAGCUGAUACUGCAAGGCUAGAGUGCGGAAGGGGAGAGUGGAACUUCUGGUGGAGCGGUGAAAUGCGUAGAUAUCAGAAGGAACACCGGCGGCGAAGGCGACUCUCUGGUCCGUAACCGACGCUGAGUGUGCGAAAGCUAGGGGAGCAAACGGGAUUAGAUACCCCGGUAGUCCUAGCCAUAAACGAU
rnacentral:rRNA from 1 species